rnacentral:rRNA from 1 species
UACGUAGGGCGCAAGCGUUAUCCGGAAUUAUUGGGCGUAAAGAGCUCGUAGGCGGUUUGUCGCGUCUGCCGUGAAAGUCCGAGGCUCAACUUCGGAUCUGGCGGUGGUACGGGCAGACUAGAGUGAUGUAGGGGAGACUGGAAUUCCUGGUGUAGCGGUGAAAUGCGCAGAUAUCAGGAGGAACACCGAUGGCGAAGGCAGGUCUCUGGGCAUUAACUGACGCUGAGGAGCGAAAGCAUGGGGAGCGAACAGG